AGUGAACGCUGGCGGCAGGCCUAACACAUGCAAGUCGAACGGCAGCACAGUAAGAGCUUGCUCUUAUGGGUGGCGAGUGGCGGACGGGUGAGGAAUACAUCGGAAUCUACUCUUUCGUGGGGGAUAACGUAGGGAAACUUACGCUAAUACCGCAUACGACCUACGGGAGAAAGCGGAGGACCUUCGGGCUUCGCGCGAUUGAAUGAGCCGAUGUGGGAUUAGCUAGUUGGCGGGGUAAAGGCCCACCAAGGCGACGAUCCCUAGCUGGUCUGAGAGGAUGAUCAGCCACACUGGAACGGAGAAACGGACCAGACUCCUACGGGAGGCAGCAGUGGGGAAUAUUGGACAAUGGGCGCAAGCCUGAUCCAGCCAUGCCGCGUGGGUGAAGAAGGCCUUCGGGUUGUAAAGCCCUUUUGUUGGGAAAGAAAAGCAGUCGGUUAAUACCCGAGUGUUCUGACGGUACCCAAAGAAGAAGCACCGGCUAACUUCGUGCCAGCCGCCGCGGUAA
rnacentral:rRNA from 1 species